rnacentral:rRNA from 1 species
CUACAUGAAGCUGGAAUCGCUAGUAAUCGCGGAUCAGAAUGCCGCGGUGAAUACGUUCCCGGGUCUUGUACACACCGCCCGUCACACCAUGGGAGUCGGAAAUGCCCGAAGUCAGUGACCCAACCGUAAGGAGGGAGCUGCCGAAGGUGGAGCCGGUAACUGGGGUGAAGUCGUAACAAGGUAAC